UUUCAUUAUCUACUUCCCAUCUCAGGAUACUCUCUUUCUUGAAUUUUCUGAGGUAAUAAUGCUCACCUGUACCUCAACCUGAUGCUUGAAGAAUUCUCCAAGAAUUGGACCACUGCUGCUCAAAGGGACAGGAUUGAAUUUGUUCCUCGAAAUAUUAAGAGGCAUAAUAUAUGUGAAAAUGCCCAAGGAAGGAUAUGGCCCAGCAAGAGUGUGUGGAUACAUGCAAAGAAUGUUUAUUAAACACCUGCUCUGUACCUCACAUGUGCCACCGGAUCCUGGGGAUAAAGUCCCUGCCUUCACAUUGUUUGCUGUUUAGUGGGAGACACAGACAAUUAUGCCCACAACUGGGAUGCAAUGUGAUGAGCUGUGAUGAAGGGAGGAAACCAGAGGCUAUGGUAACGCACAUAGUAUAUACAAUUCACUCCAAGAAAAGGAGAAGCACUCCCAAAGAAACGGCACCCAGGCUGAGUCUUAACGAAUGAACUGAAAUUGAUCAGCCUUGGAAGAGGAGAAGAAUCUCCCAGGCUAAAGGAGAACCAUGUGGGAGAAGCCACAGAAGCAUGGAGCACGAUUGUGCUUUGGAGCAACUGCCAGAACUUCUAAGGGGUAGAGGGCUAGGAAGAGAUAAGCAAGGGUCAGAUUUUAAAGGGCUUUCAUGCUUUUUCCCAGAUUUUACCCUACAGGCAAUGGGGAGUGCUUCAAGAGUUUUAAACAGGAAACAAGACCAGAUCUGCGUUUUUCUGUGUGAAGGAUAAUUUGCAGAGGACUGCAGUAGAAGCAGAAAGCAGUUUGUAAGGUUACUGCAACAACCCCAUGAAAAAUGCUAAGGACCUGAACUAAGGGAUGUGGAUGAAAAGCCUGGAGAAGACAUAGCUGAAAAAAUAACCAAGAAGAGAAAAUACAUAAAGUUCACAUCAAUUGUUUGGGGGCUGUAACUGUACAUCUUUCAGUGAUUCAGUAUUAGACUCUUCAACAUUUCAACAGACUCGCUAGAUACAGGGACAGUAAUGGCAGGAAAUUUAAGUACAUCCAAAGUGAUCUUUGAGUAGGAAGGACUUUGAGGACAUCUUGUCCACAUCUCAGUGGCAGCAGCCUUUCCCUUGGAGGUGCAGCCUUGGUUGCAAAAUUAAUCCAGAGCUACCAAUUUUCUCUCUAAUUUUCUUUAGCAUGGUUCUUUAGAUACAAAGCCUGUUUCAGAUUAACUUUAAUUUUAUUUCUUAUCUUACAGACCUCUGUCCCUAUUUCUCUGCUGGAUCACUGCCAAACCCCAAGCUCCUAUCCUGGACAGUAAGUGUUUCCUUCUUUGUUGGCAGGCAGGCUGCAGGAGUUGGGGAGAGGCGUAUUUUCUGCUAUAUAUACACCAUGGCUGGACCUUGAAGGAUGGCUGCUUUGUCUUCUCGUUCUGCCUGUCAGCCUCUUUUAUUGUGCAGGAACCAAUGACCAAGUGUUCACAGCUCUAACCGAGUGACAGGAAAUAUAGAUUGAACCACCAGAGAUUACAUUUUUAUUCUUUUAUAUGCCUUUUGCUGAAAAAAAAAUCUAUUUUGUAACUGUAAAUGUAUUGAAUUGAGGAAGUAAAGACACUGUGAACACAAUGUGCUAAGCUUUUCUUAUAAGAUUCUAUCUGUUUCCUGUCGGAGGUGAGACACGAAAUGUAAUGCAGGCAGUUUGGUGCCUACAUUAACACAGGAAUUGCCUUUCAGCUCUGUAUUUCAAUUUCAAGGUGGUAGAGGAGCGAGGGAGGCAAGCACAGCAUUCUGCAGGGGACCACUGCCAUAUGGGAUUUUGUGCACUCCACGAAGAAUGUCAAGCUCUUACUGGGAGGUGAUUGUAAUACGUGAACCAGUUUAUCGUGGACAAAUCUUUCCAAGCCCAAGUGACAAAGUGGUGAGGACCUGGACUUGAUCAUUUUGAUAUUUGACUAUUUAUUGCAAAUAUGUAUGUCAGACCGGUGGAAGGAAACAGGUAGGACAGCUUAGACACACUGUAAGGGUAUACACAAGGAAUACAGUUUAGUGAAGUUUGAAUGGACUCCUUCUUGGAGAAAGAGUGACAUAUGUGAUGAGACUGAUGCCCAACCUCCCGGGAAAGAUUUACAAACAAAACUGAGAGAAAAGGACCGAUAGUCUCCUAGGCGAUCCCUGGAGAUCUUGCUCGGAGCUGGGGGGCUUCAGUGCUGGGCUGAAACGUGGGACACUGGCAGAUGGUGAUAUUUGGAGAAGACUGCUUUUGGAGUGUGGUGGCCUUUUGUCUUGUUAUGCAAAUGCCCACAGACCUAAGUGGACUUUAAAUUCCCAAAGGAGGACUGGGGGAGCAGUAAGAAAAUACAUAGACCUCGGCAUUGAUACUAUAUGGACGUGUGUCAUGCAGAACAGGUCCCGUGAAAUGUGUUGGUUCUAAUCAAGAGUUUCUUUGGGCUUUUCCAGAUGUCUUGUUGAAAAAGAGACAGAUUCAAUAAAAAUACUAUCACUCACAAAAUUGAGUAGGUAUUAUAGUGAGAAGCAGAAAUCAGAGGUAUCCAUUGUCUAUUAGUGUUGUGCCAGUUCCCAAGACCGAUAUUUGCAGUCAUUGGUUUAUCUAACUUUUUUUGAAUACUUAUUAUGUGCCAGACUCUGUGCUAGCAUGGUGAUUAAAGAUGGGCAACAGGCAGUUCUGACCUUUAAAGAACUUAUAUUUCAAGAUGUAUGUGAGUAUGGCUAUUCAAUCUAGGGGAAUCUGAGAAAAUUUUCACUUCAAAGGCAAAAUCUUUUAAAAAAAAUCAUGAAAGCAAGUAUGUACCUACCACAUAUAGCAUUGGCAGUAUGCAGGAAAGGGGACAACAUUCAAUCUUCUGUGUCUUCGUCCCAAGCCUAAUUUUGGAUUUUGAAUCUAAUCUAAUCUACUGAAAAGGACUUUAGCCACAAAAGGGAUGGGGGAAAUAAAGAGAAAAACAAAUAUAUUGUACUUCAAAAAGGCAAAACCUAAAUCAAAGCACAGAGCUGAGAUCUGAGGAGAAAAUGGAGACCAUACAACCUCUAUGUGACUUCCCCUCCCUCACACACAGUGUUAAGCCAGAUGAUGUAAGAAAUAUGUUAUUACUGACAGUAAAGCUGUAGACUUGUCAUCAGAUAAAAUACUCUCCAUCAAAGAAAAAUCACUUUCAUAGAAGAAAAUCCUGGAAUAUACAGAAAUUAAUCACCACAAAAUAACAACCGAGUGAGAAAAGGAAGGAAACGGGCCCAUAAGUCAAUUUUCUAAAUAAUAAUAAUGAAAUGCUUAAAUGAAGAGAAUAAGACAAAUGUAUAGUAGACUCUGCAACACUGAAAGGAGAAUAAGACUGCCAGGCCCUUCUUUCAGCUGUGCCAACAAAGUAGUAGACUGGAGGAGCCUGAGUGGAGGGCUGUCAAUCAUUCCCUGUGGUUCACCAAGCUUUGUUGAGAACCUACUGUGUGCCUGGUAGUGGGCCUCACGAAGUGGGCAGUACAAAGCUGAGUAUCCUUAGGACAUAAUGAAAACACACCUCAGUUUAAUGGAAAAGCAAACAGUGCUCAGCUACAAUGGUGACGUUCAGCCUGUGGUAAGCGCUAGAAUCAAGGGUAGGAACCCAAGAAAUCUAACAGAUUUGGAAAGAAAAGAAGGAGCAGCCUUUAUUGAUGAUGAGUAAAUAUUUCACAGAAGAGGAUGAGACACAGUGAUGAAGUCCAGAAAGAGAUGGCAGGAACCAGAGCUCCUUGGCGAAAUGGCUGAUUCAUGGACUCGGGCGGGAAAUAUACAAGACAAGCCUAAAGCAUCUUGGAGCGCCAAAAGAAACCCGUAAUCCCAGUCUAAUCAUGAGAAAAACAUCAGACAAUUCCUAAUAGAGCGACAUUCAACAAAACACCUGACCAGUACCCCUCAAAACUGUCAAGGUCAUCAGAAACAAGAAACAUUUUGAGAAACUGUCACAGUCAAAAGGAGCUCAAGGGGAAAUGAUGACUAAACAUGACGUGACAUGCUAGACAGCAUACUGGAACGGAAAAAGGGCACAAGAUAAACACAAAGGAAAUCUGAACGUAAGUCUAGACUUCAGUGAAUUAUAGCACAUCAAUAUUUGCUCAUUAAUUGUAACAAAUGACAAUAAAAAGAUAUUAAUAACAGGGGAAACUGAGUGUGGGGAAUAUGGAAACUCUCUGUAUCAUCUUCAGUCUUUUUUGGUAAAUCUAGAACUGUUCUAAAAAAAUAAAAUUUAUUUUAAAAAAACAGAUAAGACCAUGUAAUUUGUUCAUUGUUGGAGUAAGCAAGAAUUGGUUGAGUACCUACUCUACA